rnacentral:lncRNA from 1 species
CUCGGACUGCAUAUAGUAAUGUCCCUUGUUUUGUUCAUAUUUGAAAUUUUAAGUUUAACUAGUGAGAAUGCUAUUUUAUUUGUAAUAUUUAAAUGUACUUUGAUAACUUAUAUCCCAGAAUAAAUAUUUGUUUCUACUAGAGCUUUCCCUCUGUUUUACACACAGUCUUCAGACACCGCAGAAAAUUCAGUAGUUACGACAUUUG